CAGUCGCCGCGGGAAUACGUAGGGUGCGAGCGUUAAUCGGAAUUACUGGGCGUAAAGCGUGCGCAGGCGGUUUGUUAAGACAGAUGUGAAAUCCCCGGGCUUAACCUGGGAACUGCAUUUGUGACUGGCCGGCUAGAGUAUGGCAGAGGGAGGUGGAAUUCCACGUGUAGCAGUGAAAUGCGUAGAUAUGUGGAGGAACACCGAUGGCGAAGGCAGCCUCCUGGGCCAAUACUGACGCUCAUGCACGAAAGCGUGGGGAGCAAACAGGAUUAGAUACCCCAGUAGUCCCUGUCUCUUAUAC
rnacentral:rRNA from 1 species